rnacentral:rRNA from 1 species
GCCUACGGGGGGCAGCAGUAGGGAAUCCUCCACAAUGGGCGAAAGCCUGAUAGAGCAACGCCGCGUGGGUGAAGAAGGUCUUCGGAUCGUAAAACCCUGUUGUUAGAGAAGAAAGUGCGUGAGAGUAACUGUUCACGUUUCGACAGUAUCUAACCAGAAAGCCACGGCUAACUACGUGCCAGCAGCCGCGGUAAUACGUAGGUGGCAAGCGUUAUCCGGAUUUAUUGGGCGUAAAGGGAACGCAGGCGGUCUUUUAAGUCUGAUGUGAAAGCCUUCGGCUUAACCGGAGUAGUGCAUUGGAAACU